rnacentral:lncRNA from 1 species
CUCUUCACCUUGAUCCAUAGAGCUUUCUAUUUGCAAAAGAACCAAAGGAUCUUGACUCAAUUCCUCACAAUUCAAAGGUUUUCCUCAACUGCAUUUUGCUUCGAACCAGCUCAUAUAUUGUUCCAUUUGCCUUGUUUUUAUGUGAUCUGAAGUCCUCUACAUAGAGGCAACAUUAUUGUGCUUUCAAUUUUUGAAAAUCAUUGAGUUCACUUGAACACCAUAAAACUUCCAU